UUGAAUUUCAUAAACUGGCUUUCCUUCUAGUGCUGGCUUUUUGCAAGUGCACAUUUAGGGAGUCUUUUUAUUAAUCCAAUCUACACCUGUGAACUAUGAGAGUGUAGCCUUUCUCCGGGAAGGCAUGACUCUUCUUUUUACUACAAACACUAUAUUAUAAAUUAAGAAAUUAAAUAUUAUAAUAAUAAUA
rnacentral:misc_RNA from 1 species